rnacentral:lncRNA from 1 species
UGAUAUUCAACUCAACUGCCUCUUGGAACCAAUGAUGGAAUUGGAAGGACGAAAAUUCAUGGGCUUCAAUUCACUCAAAUUCUCAUACAUCCUUUAAAAAAUACAACACCUAAAACAAACACUGACUAACAACCAUCAAACCUCCGAGGUAAAUCAUCCGGGUACACCAUUUUCUCUCACUCACAAUCCAUCAAUCUCCGAGGUAAAUCAUCAAAUAUGUUCUUCCUACCAAUUACAGAGAUACAACACGAGCCUUGUACAUUAUUAUAUACGCCAUAUGCCAAUCACC